rnacentral:rRNA from 1 species
CGCCUGUUUAUUAAAAACAUGGUUUUAAUUAAUUAAUUUAAAAUUAGGCCUGCCCAAUGAUUUUUUAAUUUAAAGGCCGCAGUAUUUUGACUGUGCUAAGGUAGCAUAAUCAUUAGGUUUUUAAUUUAGAUCUAGAAUGAAUGGUUUGAUGAAAUAAAUUCUUUUUUAAAUUAAUAUUAGAAUUUUAUUUUUUAGUAAAAAAUCUAAAAUAUUUAAAAGGGACGAGAAGACCCUAUAGAAUUUUACAAAAAAAAAUUAUAAUAUUAAUUUAUUUUUAUUUAUUUAUAAAUUUUAUUUGUUUUAUUGGGGCGAUAGUUAAAUUUUAUAAACUUUUAAUAAAAAUUUCAUUGAUUUAUGUUUUUAUGAUCUUUUUUUAUUGAUUAAAAAAAUAAAUUACCUUAGGGAUAACAGUAUAAUUUUAUUAAAAAGUUCUUAUUUUUAAUAGUGUUUAUAACC